rnacentral:pre_miRNA from 9 species
UCUCGAUAGCGUUAAAGUUAACUCGAUUUUGUAUGGAGUUGGAACGUUUGCCUACGUUUGCCGCUAGGGGCGUUGAUCCAAUUGCAUACAAAUUAGACUACACUUUUACGUUAUCGA